rnacentral:rRNA from 1 species
AUGGGAGGCAACUCCGGGCGAAUAGUAAGCCCAUGGAUACAAGUCAAGUUAUGUCUUCUCAGUUCAGUAACUGAAAUCAAAUUUAAGUUCAGUAAAUGAAAUCAAAUUCCGAAUCAGCUUUGUCUAGAAACAAGGAAGCUAUAAGUAAUGCAACUAGGAAGCUCAUGGAGAGUUUGAUCUGGCUCAGGAUGAACGCUGGCGGCAUGCUUUACACAUGCAAGUCGGACGGGAAGUGGUGUUUCCAGUGGCGAACGGGUGAGUAACGCGUAAGAACCUGCCCUUGGGAGGGGGACAACAGCUGGAAACGGCUGCUAAUACCCCGUAGGCUGAGGAGCGAAAGGAGGAAUCCGCCCAAGGAGGCGCUCGCGUCUGAUU